CAUAGCUUGGUGUAAAUAUUAAGUAUCCCCUGCCCAGUGAUUUUAACGGCCGCAGUACCUUGACUGUGCUAAGGUAGCAUAAUAAUUUGGCUUUUAAUUGGAGUCGGGAAUGAAUGGGAUACGUGGAGGUUGUCUCUUACAAGAUUUGUAAAUUUACUUAUUAGGUGAAAAUUCCUAUUUUUAUUAUUAGACGAGAAGACCCUUAGAAUUUAAUAUAUUUUGUUGGGGCGACAAAGUUACAUUUAACUUACUUUUUAUUUAAACAAGCCGAGAAUGAAUAAAUUACCUGAGGGAUAACAGCAUAAUUAUAAGAUUGUGACCUCGAUGUUGGAUUAAGGUGUAAUGGUUAACAAUUAUUAUUGUUCUGUUCGAACCUUACGUGAUCU
rnacentral:rRNA from 1 species